AGCCAGCUGGCGAGUCCCAAUUAGGACGAAACGCGCGUCAAACUGGAU
rnacentral:hammerhead_ribozyme from 1 species